ACGGCUCAGUAACACGUAGUCAAUCUAACCUAUGGACGGGGAUAACCUCGGGAAACUGAGGAUAAACCCCGAUAGAUCAUUAUGCCUGGAACGGUUUAUGGUCCAAACGAUUCGUCGCCGUAGGGUGGGACUUGCGGCCUAUCAGCUUGUUGGUGAGGUAAUGGCCCACCAAGGCUAUUACAGGUACGGGCUCUGAGAGGAGAAGCCCGGAGAUGGGUACUGAGACACGGACCCAGGCCCUAUGGGGCGCAGCAGGCGAGAAACCUUUGCAAUGUGCGCAAGCACGACAAGGUUAAUCCGAGUGUUUCCUGCUAAAGGAAUCUUUUGUUAGUUGUAAAACCACUGAUGAAUAAGGGGUGGGCAAGUUCUGGUGUCAAGCCGCCGCGGUAAAACCAGCACCUCAAGUGGUCAGGAUGAUUAUUGGGCCUAAAGCAUCCGUAGCCUGUUCUGUAAGUUUUCGGUUAAAUCCAUUAGCUCAACUAAUGGGCUUGCCGAAAAUACUGCAGAACUAGGGAGUGGGAGAGGUAGACGGUACUCGGUAGGAAGGGGUAAAAUCCUUUGAUCUAUUGAUGACCACCUGUGGCGAAGGCGGUCUACCGGAACACUGUUCGACGGUGAGGGAUGAAAGCUGGGGGAGCAAACCGGAUUAGAUACCCGGGUAGUCCCAGCUGUAAACGAUGCAGACUCGGUGAUGCCCUGGCUUGUGGCCAGUGCAGUGCCGCAGGGAAGCCGUUAAGUUUGCCGCCUGGGAAGUACGUACGCAAGUAUGAAACUUAAAGGAAUUGGCGGGGGAGCAC
rnacentral:rRNA from 1 species